CCUACGGGAGGCAGCAGUGAGGAAUAUUGGUCAAUGGACGAGAGUCUGAACCAGCCAAGUAGCGUGAAGGAUGACUGCCCUAUGGGUUGUAAACUUCUUUUAUAUGGGAAUAAAACAGGGUAUGCAUACCCUCUUGUAUGUACCAUAUGAAUAAGGAUCGGCUAACUCCGUGCCAGCAGCCGCGGUAAUACGGAGGAUCCGAGCGUUAUCCGGAUUUAUUGGGUUUAAAGGGAGCGUAGGUGGAUUGUUAAGUCAGUUGUGAAAGUUUGCGGCUCAACCGUAAAAUUGCAGUUGAUACUGGCAGUCGUGAGUACAGUAGAGGUGGGCGGAAUUCGUGGUGUAGCGGUGAAAUGCUUAGAUAUCACGAAGAACUCCGAUUGCGAAGGCAGCUCACUGGACUGCAACUGACAUUGAUGCUCGAAAGUGUGGGUAUCAAACAGGAUUAGAUACCCUAGUAGUC
rnacentral:rRNA from 1 species